ACCGGGAGGGUGAGAGGCCCAUGGAGGGAGCGGGUCGCGGCGCCAAGAGGCUUACCUCCUGCGUGUGUGCUGACAAGGAGGCUGCCUUUCAGGAGAGCUUCCCCCUGGGCAGUCACGAAGUGGCGCGCUGGUUCCCGGGCCACACGGACAAGGGGAAGACACGUCAGGCAUUUGCCUAAGGCUUCUGUGCAGAAUGGAGCUGGAGGAGCCUUAUUUGUGGUAAGUAAUUACUUAGAUUUCUUCAGAAUGGAAAGACUGAGAAAUUUGGGUAAAUACAACAUAAUAUUCAACACCAUUGUCUUUGGUAUUUGCUGGCCAUUGUAGAGAUUUAAAUAUAGCUAGUGGAGUUCACGUUCAUUUCAAAAAGUGUAGUUCCAGCUGAACCUCUCAAGUUUAAAUUGGCACCAGGGCAACUCUAGGAAGAAGAAUUUAGAUUACUCCAUCAUGACACAACAGAACUGUAACCUGAUUUCUAAUUACCUUUUGCUUUCUUACGAAUCAUUCUCUUGGCUCACUGAAGAUUCAGAGGCUGAACCUUGGGGAAUCCCAAAACGGCACUGGUUAGACAUACAUGGAUUUUAGUAUUACAGUGACUGUAUCGGCAGCUGGCCUUUGUAUUUUUGGUUUCCAGGGUUACCUACAGGUAGAUGUCAAGGAAUUCCUCAGCUUGGUUGCACAAUUCAGAAACGCUAAGAGAAUGUAUCCCCUUUCUGUGACAAGGUUUUUCAGGAAAUAAUGUAGUAUUUAAAGGCAAUUUAGUGGACUUGUAUGAUGAUUCAGAGUUAGUGGUGUAGUUUUAGAAAAUAAAGUCCUUCUAGGUUGAAUCUUAACAAGUUAGUUAGCCCUCCUAUUACCAAGUAGAUUCCUGCUUUGUAUUUUAUCAGCUUUGUCUAAAAGCAUAUCUAAGAUCCUUAUCUCAAGUUUCCAUUUUCUUUUCUCUUUUAUGUCCUUGUAAAAGCAGAAGUUGGCCAGUUCUGAGAGUUAACAUAUAAAGAGAUUCAGUUCUGUGUUCAACCUUACACACAAAACAUUAAUUGCUGAAAGUGUUAAUCUCAGUGUGAUUCAUUUGAUUUCCUAUUGACAUGCCAUUUCUUGUCAGUGUUUGAAGAAGGCCUGCUGCUUCUGGAGAAGAAACAAAGCUUGCUCUCAGCUAGUUUCUGUUGUGUGAGGAAGAGAUGGUGCUUCUGUAGCAGAGAGUAGGUCCCUGAGGUGAUAGGUCCCUUUGACAAUCUGAUACACCCUCUUUUGGGAAAAUGCACAUAUUUUCACACUAGAAAAUGUAUGUCUAAAUUUAGAAGUCUUUGAAUAAUUGGCAAUUUGGUGUAAUUAAAUUACAUUAGAAGCUUCAUUCUCUAAUCAAGUUGGAGAAUGCCUUUUUAGGCUUUUGGCCCGAAAGCUGCUUCUCAAUACUUCUCAGAACCUAUAAACUGUGAUUUUGAAAAUCUUUCUCAGUUUUCAAAUUCUACUAACAUCAUACUCCUCGAAUAUAUUUAAUAAUUGCUUUGGGAAUUAUUUUUUGAUGCAAUGAUAGUUUGCUGUAUAUCAUAUUAGAAUUAAAGUGAAGAGAUUCAGUGAUCAGUGGUAGUAAAGUACAAAGUUAUUCACAAUUUUGAGAGAAUUUUGAUAAUUUUGGAAAACAUUUUCUCCCCUUUGUAUGGCAUAGAGGUACUCCUGAGAGUAAGCCAGAUAUUCCAUUUGACUUCACACCAGAAAACUGCAAGGUAUGAGUUGGUUAACAUCAUAAUUAAUUUAUAGAAUAUUUAGUGUCUUCCAGAUAUAUAAAAACAGGUGCUUUUUCUUUGACACAGAGAAUAGAGGCAAUUGUAAAAGGAAAACAAAAACAAACAAAAAAACUACCCAGAAGGGCAUAAAGCAGCAGCUGUAUUUCUAGUCAUGGAUUUAGUCCAAAGACAGAAUGCAUGACUGCCCAUCUCUGCCAUGAACAAGAGCCUUUUAUCCUUGCAGGAAAUAGUAAAGGCAUUAUAGAGAAAGGGGUUUUCUUUUUUUCCAUCUUUGAGAGAAAUGGCAAUAACAAUAAUAAGGUUAAAAGUCCCAAAUGUGUGUAAUUUCCUGUCAAGAUAUUUCAAAAAUGAAUAUGCUAUUUAAAUGCUAGAAGUACAGAGAAAAGGAUCUGUUCACAGCUAAUGUGAAUCUUUUUAAUAUUUGCAUCUUUGGCUACAGGCUUUAACAAUCAUCUGUAUGAUACAUGGUAUUUAUACUAUAUGAUUAUGGCACCUUGGAAUCGGAAACAUACAGAAAUCUUAUGGGUGACUCAUUUAAAUAAAGUUAGUAUAUUCACAUAUAUUUUAGGGUUCAUUUUUUUCUGAUAGUGUUUUCAGCAGUAAUCCAAAUUUCAGUUUUUUCACAUCCUAUUUAUGUAACUCCAUUUGUAUGGUACUUUGUAGCAGUGUAUUGUUUACAAAAGUGCCAUACAGAAUUCUGUAUUAUUUGAUCCUUAUGAGAAUCAUACAACUGAUAAGCCAAUGCGAUAUAAUGGAAAAUAUCUUUUAUUUUGAAUUAAGAGACCUGAUUUUCUUCUGCUUACUUCCAUCUGCAAUGAAGAUUUUGAACUAGAUAGACAUCUUUCAAUUAUUAUGUAAUGACUUCUAAGUGAUAGAGCUGAGACUGUUUCCACUUGUAUGCAUUUUUUUCUGCUUGACACUUGUGGAUAUUCUGCUAUACUUUGUUCUCCUUUUCACUUUCUAAGUUUUAUUUGGUCUAACUAUUAGAUUGGACCAUUAUUAUCUUUCUUGGAGUAUAGGAUGUCCUCAAUUCAUCUAAUGGAAACGAUGCAAAUUUUAGCUCAUUGAUCUGGUUUUAAAAAGAAUUUUAUUGAACUGUAGUUGUUACAAUGAUGUGUUAGAUUGAAAUGUACAGCAAAGUGAUUCAGUUAUAUACAUAUAUAUAUAUAUAUUUUCAAAUUCUUUUCCAUUAUAGGCUAUAGUAAGUUAUUGAAAGUAGUUGUGUGUGAUAUACAGUAGAUCUUUGUUUUUUACUUUUAUAUAUGUUAGUGUGUAUGGGUUAAUCCCAAACUCCUUAUUUAUCUCUUUUGGUGACCAUAAAUUUGUUUUCUAUAUCUGAGUCUAUUUCUGUUUUGUAAAUAAAUUUGUAUCAUUUUUUUUUAGAUUCUACAUACAGGUGAUAUCAUAGGAUAUUUGUCUUUUCUCUGACUUACUAUGAUAAUCUCUAGGUCCAUCCAUUUUGCUGCACAUGGCAUUUCACUCCUUCUUAUGACUGAGUAAUAUUUCUCUGUGUGUGUGUGUGUGUGUGUCUCUGUGUCUGUCUGUCUGUUUACUUCUUCUUUAUCCAUCUGUCAGUGGAUAUUUAGAUUGCUUUCAGGUCUUGGCCAUUGUAAAGAGUGCUGCAAUGAACAUUGGUGUGUAUGUAUCUUUUGGAUUUAGAGCUUCCUCCAGAAAUAUGCCCAGGAGUGGGAUUGCAGGAUCAUAUGAUAACUCUAUUUAUAAUUUUUAAGGAACCUCCUUAAUGUUCUCCAAACUGGCUGCACCAGUUUAUAUUCUUACCAGCAGUGUAGGAGGGUCUCUUUUGCUCCACACCCUCUCCAGCAUUAAUUAUUUGUAGACAUUUUAAUGAUGGCCAUACUGACUGGUGUGAGGUGAUUCCUCAUUUACAUUUAUCUAUUAAUUAGCAAUAUUGAGCAUUUUUUCACAUUCCUUUUGGCCACCUGUAUGUCUUCUUUGGAGAAAUGUGUACUUAAGAGUUUUUGCCUUUUUUUUUCUUUUUUUUUAUUGUUUCUUCCGCAACACAAUUUUUUUCCCCACUGUAUAGCAUGGAGAUCCAGUUAAACAUACAUGUAUACAUACUUUUUUCUCCCAUUAUCACGCGCCAUCAUAUGUAAGGAGACAUGGUUCUCAGUGCUACACAGCGGGAUCUCAUUGUUAGUCCAUUCCAAAAGAAAAAGUUUGCAUCCAUUAACCCCAAGCUCCCAAUCCAUCCCACUCCCUCCCCCUCCUGCCAGGCAACCAUAAUUCUAUUCUCCAAGUCCAUGAUUUUCUUUUUUGUGGAAAGGUUCAUUUGUGCUGUAUAUUACAUUCCAGAUAUAAGUGAUAUCUUACAGUAUUUGUCUUUCUCUUUCUGACUUACUUCACUCAGGAUAAGAGUCUCUAGUUCCAUCCAUGUUGCUGCAAGUGGCAUUAUUUUGUUCCUUUUUAUGACUGAAUAGUAUUCCUUGUGUAUAUAUACCACAUCUUCCUAAUCCAGUCGUCUGUCAGUGAGCCUUUGGGUUGUGUCCAUGUCUUGGCUAUUGUGAAUAGUGCUGCAAUGAACAUGUGGGUGCAUGUGUCUUUGUCAAGGAAAGUUUUGACUGGAUAUAUGCCCAGGAGUGGGGUUGCUGGGUCAUAUGGUAGAUCUAUGUGUAGUUUUCUAAGAUACCUCCAUACUGUUCUCCACAGUAGUUGUACCAGCUUCCAUUUCCACCAACAGUGCAGGAAGGUUCCCUUUUCUCCACACCUCCUCCAGCAUUUGUUAUUUGUGGACUUAGUAAUGAUGGCCAUUCUGACUGGUGUGAGGUGAUAUCUCAUGGUAAUUUUGAUUUGCAUUUCUCUAAUAAUAAGGGAUGUUGAGCAUUUUUUCAUGUGCUUGUUGGCCAUCUGUGUAUCUUCCUUAGAGAAAUGUCUAUUCACAUCUUUUUGCCCAUUUUUCCAUUGGGUUGUUGGGUUUUUUGCUGUUGAGUUGUAUAGUUUGUUUGUAUAUCCUAGAGAUUAAGCCCUUGUCAGUUGCAUCAUUUGACACUAUUUUCUCCCAUUCUGUAAGUUGUCUUUUUGCUGUCUUUUUGGUUUUCUUUGCUGUGCAAAAGCUUGUCCGUUUGAUUAGGUCCCAUUGGUUUACUUUUGCUUUUAUUUCUGUUGCUUUGGGAGACUGACCUGAGAAAACAUUUGUAAGGUUGAUGUCAGAGAAUGUUUUGCCUAUGUUCUCUUCCAGGAGUUUGGUGGUGUCUUGUCUUAUAUUUAGGUCUUUCAGCCAUUUGGAGUUUAUUUUUGUGCAUGCUGUGAGGGUGUGUUCUAGUUUCAUUGAUCUGCAUGUAGCUGUCCAGGUUUCCCAGCAAUUCUUGCUGAAUAGACUGUCUUUUCCCCAUUUUAUAUUCUUGCCUCCUUUGUCAAAGAUUGCUUGACCAUAGGUGUCUGGGUUUAUUUCUCGGUUCUCUAUUCUAUUCCAUUGGUCUGUCUGUCUGUUUUGGUACCAGUACCACACUGUCUUGAAGACUGUGGCUUUGUAAUAUUUCCGGAAGUCUGGGAGAGUGAUGCCUCCUGCUUGGUUUUGGUUCCUCAGGAUUGCUUUGGCAAUUCUGGGUCUUUUGUGGUUCUGUAUAAAUUUUUGGAUUGUUUGUUCUAGUUCUGUGAAAAAUGUCAUGGGUUCUUUGAUAGGGAUUGCAUUGAAUCUGUAGAUUGCUUUGGGUAGUACGGGCAUUUUUACAAUAUUAAUUUUUCCAACCCAGGAGCAUGGAAUAUCUUUCCAUUUCCUUACAUCUUCUUUAAUUUCCUUGAAUAAUAUUUUAUAGUUUUCAGCAUGUAGGUCCUUUGCCCCCUUGCUAAGUUUGUCUUUUUUUUUCUUUUGACUUUUUAGGGUGGCACCUGCAGCAUAUGGAAGUUCCCAGGCUGCGGGUCUAAUUGGAGCUCUGGCUGCCUGCCUACGCCACAGCCUCAGCAACACCAGAUCCGAGCCAAGUCUGUGAUUUAUACCACAGCUCACAGCAAAGCUGGAUCCUUAACCCAGUGAGUGAGUCCAGGGAUAGAACCCACAUCCUUGUGCAUAUUGGUUGGGUUUACUACCACUGAGCUACAGUGGGAACUCUGCCCAUUUUUUGAUUGGGUUUUUUCUUUUUCUUCUUUUUUAAAUCUGUAUGAGCAGUUUGCAUAUUUUGGAAACUAAAUCUUUGCUGGUCACAUCAUUUGCAGUUUUAGCCUAUUCCAUAGGUUGUCUUUUCGUUUUGUUUGUGGUUUCCUUUUAAGUUUAAUUAGGUCCUGUUUGUUUAUUUUCGUUUUUAUUUCUAUUCCUCAAGGAGUUGGAGCCAAUAAUAUGUUGCUGCAAUUUAUGUGCAUAGUGUUCUACCUAUGUUUUCCUUAGGAGUUAGUAUCCAGUCUUACAUUUAAGUCUUUAAUCCAUUUGAGUUUAGUUUUGUUUAUGUAUAUGUGGUGGUAGAGAAUAUUCUAAUUUCAUUUGUUUGCACGUCACUGUCCAUUUUCCCCAGCACCUCUUAUUAAAAGAAGCUGCCUGUUCUACAUUGUAUAUUCUUGCCUCCUUUGUCGUAGAUUAAUUGAUCAUAAUUGUGUGGCUCAUUGAGCUCUUAUUUGCCUUUUUCCAUUCUCUAAUACUUGUGGACUCUUAGUAAUUUGUUUUGACUGUGAAAAAAUGUUUUAAAACAAGUUUGGUUGGUAUUAAGUAAACAGUUGCUUAUUUUUUUCAAUAAAUCAUAUAUGUGUCUAGGAUUUUCCCCAAUUCCUUACAUUAUUUUUAUAAUAGCCAACUUCCUAAGUAAUGAUUUAGGUGUGUUUCUAAUUGUAGACACUUUUUCUUGCAAAAAUUUAUAUUUUUAAUAAUGGCAAACUUGCUUGACUUGCUUAGCAGAAUGAAAUAAAUGACAAAUUAAUAUGAGAACAUUUCAAAAGUAUUGUCAGAGUUCCCACUGUGGCUCAGUGGUAAUAAACCCAAUUAGUAUCCAUGAGGAUACAGGUUCAAUCCUUGGCCUCCCUCAGAAGUUUAAGGAUCCAGUGUUGUUGUGAGCUGUGGUGUAGGUUGUAGAAUUGGCUUGGAUCUGGCAUUGCUGUGGCUGUGGUGCAGGUCUGUGGUUGAUAACUUCAGUUCCAAUUCAACCCCUCGCCUGGCAACUUUAGCUCCAAUUCCACCCCUAGCCUGGCAACUUCCAUAUGUCACAAGUGCAGCCCUAAAAAGCAAAACAAAUAAACAAACAAAC
rnacentral:lncRNA from 1 species